rnacentral:rRNA from 1 species
GAGUUCAAGAGUACGUGAAACUGCUUAGAGGUUAAGCCCGAUGAACCUGAAUAUCCAUUAUGAAAAAUUCAUCAUUAAUACUAUGAUAUUUAUAAUAUUAUAGAAAUAGUGUGCAAUUUUUUCAUAUAAGGACAUUGUAAUCUGUUAAUGUAAUAAAUAUUUAUUAAAAGAUCUUAUACACAAGUUUAUUCAAAUUAGUUAUUUUCGAAUUUCUAACAUAGAAUAAAUGUAUUUGAUUUAAUAAAUCAUUGACAGAUUUAAUUAUAAUAUAGUGCUUAAAUUUUGAACNAAAUUUUACAAUAAUAUAAUAAUUUAAUUUAUUAUGUUUAAUUGUAUGCGCUUAUAUGAUUAACAAUGCGAUAGAUUCAGGAUACCUUCGGGACCCGUCUUGAAACACGGACCAAGGAGUCUAACAUAUGUGCAAGUCAUUGGGUAUUUUUAAUAAAACCCAAUGGCAUAAUUAACUUAACUGUUUUUUAAAUGGGAUUAGUUUAUAUUUUAUUAUGAAAUAUUAAUUCAAUCCCGGGGCGUUCUAUAUAGUUAUACAUAAUGAUAUUUAUACCAUUUAUGCCUCUAACU